rnacentral:lncRNA from 1 species
AUGAUUCGGGGCGUGACUGCGCUGUCUCGCAAAAGGUCCCUGGAACGGGGAUUUAAACAAAGAAAGCGUCACCCCUGCCCCGGCGGUGCCCGGUGCUGGGGCCCGGUAGCGGCGGGGGAUGGGGCGGGGGGACGGAGCCGGGGCUGGGGACACGGAUCUGGGGUGAGGGACACGGACCCCGGGGCAGGGGACACGGACAAGGUCCAGGGGAUGGAGGGCAGAGGGGAUUCAGGGCCCUUCCAGGUCCAAAUCCCGUGUCCGGGAAGGGGAUCCGGAUCAGGGAUGAAGGGGAGUCACGGUCCCGGGAGAGGGGACACGGAGCCGGGGUGGGGGACACGGAGUGGGGGAUACAGAGCCGGGGUGGGGGACACGGAGCCGGGGUGGGGGACACGGAGCCGGGGUGGGGGACACAGAGCCAGGGUGGCUCCACUCCCGGUGCCGGUGAGGUCCAGGGGAUGGACAGGAGGGGGGAAAUUGGGCUGCCAGCCCUUCCUCAUCUUUCCCGGGACAAAUGCCCGUCUCUGGGAAGGGGGAUCCGGGCCGGGGGUGAAGAACGGUCCCGGGGAGAGGGGACACGGUCCCGAGUGGGGACACGGUCCCGGGAGAAGGAACAGGGAUUUAGGAGGGGGACACAGUCCCGGGAGAGGGGACACGGUCCGGAGUGGGGACAUGGAGCCAGGAAGGGGAACAAAGACCCCGGGAGGGGGGCAAAGACCCGGGGAUGAAGGGGAGUCACGGUCCCGGGUGGGGACACGGUCCCGGGAGAGGGGCCAUGGAUCGAGGACGGGGACACAGUCCCGGGAGGGGGGACAGGGACUCAAAAAGGGGACCCAGACCCAGGAGAGGGACCCAGACCCUGCCUCUCCACUCCCGGUGCCAGCAGGAUGCAGGAGCUGGAGGAAAAAGGGGCAAUCCAGGGCUGCCACCCCUUCCCCACCCUGCCAGGGGCCAAGCGCCCCGCCGGGCCCGCAGCGCGGAGGAGAAACUGGAGUAAAUCAGGUAGUUUGA